rnacentral:rRNA from 1 species
AGUGAACGCUGGCGGUAGGCCUAACACAUGCAAGUCGAACGGCAGCACAGUAAUAGCUUGCUCUUACGGGUUGCGAGUGGCGGACGGGUGAGGAAUACAUCGGAAUCUACUUUUUCGUGGGGGAUAACGUAGGGAAACUUACGCUAAUACCUCAUACGACCUACAUGUGAAAGCAGUGGGUCUUCGGACCUUGCGCGAAUGAAUUAGCCGAUGUCGGUUUUGCUAGUUGGCGGGGUAAAGGCCCACCAAGGCGACGAUCCGUAGCUGGUCUGAGAGGAUGAUGAGCCACACGGGAACUGGGACAGGGUCAAGACUCUAAGGGGAGGAGGAAGAGGGGAAUAUUGGACAAUGGGGGCAAGCCUGAUCCAGCCAGACGGGGGAGGUGAAGAGGGUCUUCGGGUUGUAAAGCCCUUUUGUUGGGAAGGAAAAGCAGCAGGUUAAUACGCCGCUGUUGUGACGGUACCCUAAGAAUAAGCACCGGCUAACUACGUG